rnacentral:lncRNA from 1 species
UUUGCCUCGAUGGCACUUUCCUGUCCGCGACUCCGCCCCCACCAGAGGGGCUAGGCUCUGGGAUUCAAGAUGGAGGCGCUGAGUCGAGCUGGGCAGGAGAUGAGCCUAGCGGCCCUGAAGCAACACGACCCCUAUAUCACCAGCAUCGCAGACCUCACGGGCCAGGAGAAGACUGAUAUAGAAGGGACCUUAUUCGUAUAUCGAAGGUCAGCUUCCCCUUACCAUGGUUUUACCAUUGUGAAUCGACUAAAUAUGCACAAUCUAGUUGAACCAGUGAAUAAAGAUUUGGAAUUUCAGCUCCAUGAACCAUUUCUUCUGUAUAGAAAUGCAAGCUUGUCGAUAUAUAGUAUCUGGUUUUAUGACAAGAAUGACUGUCACCGCAUAGCAAAACUCAUGGCUGAUGUGGUAGAAGAGGAGACACGGCGAUCCCAGCAAGCUGCUCGGGACAAACAGAGUCCCAGCCAGGCCAAUGGCUGCAGCGACCACAGGCCCAUCGACAUCCUGGAGAUGCUGAGCAGAGCCAAGGAUGAGUAUGAGAGGAAUCAGAUGGGUGACUCAAAUAUCUCCAGCCCUGGGUUACAGCCAAGCACUCAGCUCUCCAAUCUGGGAAGCACCGAGACUCUAGAAGAAAUGCCCUCCGGGUCACAGGAUAAGUCUGCUCCAUCUGGACACAAGCAUCUGACGGUAGAAGAGUUAUUUGGAACCUCUUUGCCAAAGGAACAACCAGCAGUUGUGGGUCUGGAUUCAGAAGAAAUGGAGAGGUUGCCAGGAGAUGCCUCCCAGAAAGAGCCCAAUUCAUUCCUACCAUUUCCCUUUGAGCAGUUAGGAGGAGCCCCUCAAUCAGAAACC